GUCUACAUCCAUAACACCCUAAAUAUGCCCGAUCUUGUCUGAUCUCAGAAGCUAAGCAGGAUCAGGCCCGGUUAGUACUUGGAUGGGAGACCUCCUGGGAUUACCAGCUGCUGUAGGCU
rnacentral:rRNA from 1 species